rnacentral:rRNA from 1 species
CCUACGGGGUGCAGCAGUGGGGCAUAUUGCACAAUGGGGGAAACCCUGAUGCAGCGACGUCGCGUGAGUGAUGAAGUAUUUCGGUAUGUAAAGCUCUAUCAGCAGGGAAGAAAAUGACGGUACCUGACUAAGAAGCCCCGGCUAACUACGUGCCAGCAGCCGCGGUAAUACGUAGGGGGCAAGCGUUAUCCGGAUUUACUGGGUGUAAAGGGAGCGUAGACGGCGGUGCAAGCCAGAUGUGAAAGCCCGGGGCGCAACCCCGGGACGGCAUUUGGAACUGUGCUGCUAGAGUGUCGGAGAGGCAGGCGGAAUUCCUAGGGUAGCGGUGAAAUGCGUAGAUAUUAGGAGGAACACCAGUGGCGAAGGCGGCCUGCUGGACGAUGACUGACGUUGAGGCUCGAAAGCGUGGGGAGCAAACAGGAUUAGAUACCCCUGUAGUC